GACGAACCGUCCUAACGUUGUUCGGAAUCACUGGGCUUAAAGGGCGCGUAGGUGGCGUCGUAAGUCGGGUGUGAAAUUUCGGAGCUUAACUCCGAAACUGCAUUCGAUACUGCGGUGCUUGAGGACUGGAGAGGAGACUGGAAUUUACGGUGUAGCAGUGAAAUGCGUAGAGAUCGUAAGGAAGACCAGUGGCGAAGGCGGGUCUCUGGACAGUUCCUGACACUGAGGCACGAAGGCCAGGGGAGCAAACGGG
rnacentral:rRNA from 1 species